GACGAACGCUGGCGGCAUGCCUAAUACAUGCAAGUCGAGCGAACGGAUGAAGUGCUUGCACUUCUGACGUUAGCGGCGAACGGGUGAGUAACACGUAAGGAAUCUACCUAUAAGCGGGGGAUAACAUUCGGAAACGGGUGCUAAUACCGCAUAAUAUCUUCUUCCGCAUGGAAGAAGAUUGAAAGACGGCUCUGCUGUCACUUAUAGAUGACCUUGCGGUGCAUUAGUUAGUUGGUGGGGUAACGGCCUACCAAGACGAUGAUGCAUAGCCGACCUGAGAGGGUGACCGGCCACAUUGGGACUGAGACACGGCCCAAACUCCUACGGGAGGCAGCAGUAGGGAAUCUUCCGCAAUGGGCGAAAGCCUGACGGAGCAAUGCCGCGUGAGUGAAGAAGGCCUUCGGGUCGUAAAACUCUGUUAUAAGAGAAGAACAAAUUGUAGAGUAACUGCUACAGUCUUGACGGUAUCUUAUCAGAAAGCCACGGCUAACUACGUGCCAGCAGCCGCCGUAA
rnacentral:rRNA from 1 species